rnacentral:tRNA from 1 species
GAAAUAAUAAUAGGUAAAGCUUCUAACUUCAACCUUAAGCACAAAAGUGUUUUUAUUUCU